GAGGUGAUGUUACCAGUGUCUUAACAGGCUCUGUCUGGUCAUAGAGUGGACAACAGACUGUGGGGUUGAGGGAGGAGGAAGAUCAAACUGAAGGCUAAUCCCAUAGUCCAGGUGAGGAGGAAUGAACUGGAGUUGUGGCUUGGGCAAUGUGGCUAGAUUCUGGUUUUGUGUUUUUUAAAGGGGCAACUCAGAUUUUUAGAGAGCUUGAGUAGAUUCAGCAAUCACCCCAGGGUUUUUGGUCUUAGCAGCUGUAGCAUCAGGCGUAAUACUCACUGAGGAUAUCAGGAGUUUCCUUUUGGCCAUUCUGAGGGGAAAAAACACCAAUUGCUUUUGCUCUGCUCUCCCCUCCAGCAGCAGUCAGCACAGAGUACUUCUGUGCCCAGAUGUGUGGACACUUUUCCUCAUACACCAAGUUAUUUUCUACGGUGGACAUCACAUCCCAUAGGCUCAUGAAUGAAGGAAGACCACCACAAGUGGCCCCUGAACAGGGACAUGAGAUACGGGAACUUAAUGAAGAAGGUCUGAUGGAGCAGAGGCGGUGAAACUGAUGAGACGGAUGAGGAACCCCAAUAUGCCCGCAGUGAAUAUAAGAAGUGCGGACCGGAGAGCUUUCCUGAGACAAGGGCUCGGCUCUCCCACAGCCCAAGGCCCUUCUACCGGCGCAACAGGUACUGGAAGGAAACCGUAAGACAACUUUCCGCGCAGCGCACGCCGAGAAUCACGUUUGCUCCAGACAUCCGGAACAACCUUUAAAAAGCCGAAGAUGGCCCUCAAACCCCACAAGACUUCCUUAACCUGGAGACUUCCUUAACCUGGUCUUCAAUCAAUAGACGAGGCUAAACCUCAACAGCCUGGCUGUGGCACCCAGGGGCACAAAAGAAAAGAUCCAACAGCAGUGCACCUCCAAGGACAUGUUUCAAGUGCAGCAAGGAAGACAUUCGGCACAGGCAUGUCCCAAUCCGUGGGUGCCAAAAAGCCCUUGCUCAUCUGCUAGCACACAGGUCACUGGAAGCUGACUGUCCUCACCAGGCAGACAGAAAAGCCUGAACGUCCAACCUGCAACCCCUUCACCAAGACGAAAGCCGGAACUCCCAUCACUAAUUAUUUACCAACUCUUCCAAGCUGCACACCACCCAGCUAAGGCAAGAAUUACACACUGCCGAGGACACCAAACAGGAUUAGAUGAUGUCUCAAGAGGGACCAGAAAGGCCGACAAGGUAGGAAAAGAAGUCUGUUUCCUCUGCCCCUGUCCCUCUCCCCCUCCUCACCCCCACAAUUCAAACCCAGUAUUCUGCCACCAAAAAACCUUCACUCUUAAAACAAGGAGCCUCCUUCCAAGGGAACUGGAUAGCCAAACAAACUGAGGAAAUUCUAACAUCUCUUAUCAAUGCACACCCUCUGUACCUUCUCCUUCACCCUUCUAAUCCCCACCCCACACCUGUUUACACACUAAAAAAACCAAACUGUCUUGUAUGCUCUGUCACUUCCUCUCAAGGAGCCCUCCACUGUCCUCCUAUCCCUACACAUCAGCUGAGAACGUCUCUCCUCAUAACAUAUCAAAUAUUAAAAGUCCUCUCCCCUUCCCCAUGCACGCGCACACGUCUCAAGAGGAGUUUAUCCAUUCCUGUUUUUCCCUUUCCUCUACUGCCCACUCAGCUAUCCCAGUUUCUCAGCCCUAGGACCAUAUUCCCAUUCGCUUCUCACACACCAUCCAAAAAGGCUCUGCCUUUGUAGACAGAGCCUUCACCCUGACUAUCCCACUGUCCUUGGUAACAGAGCUACCAAACUUCUCUCCACAUAUACUGCCGAUUAUGACCACGCAAAACUCCCUCACCCUGCCAUCGAAAGUCCCGUAACUCUGUAUACCCCAAAACGUGGCCAAGCCCCCAUAUGUGUCACCUCUUUCAACAAACACAUACACAUAGGCACCAUCCCUCCCUCUGCCUGUGGUUCUACUCAAACCAUCUCCCAUCCCUCACUCUCCCCUGAAGCUAACGGCGCUUUUACCCAGCCCCUCCACAUUACCUCCUCUCCUGCCUCUCAAACAUGGAAACCCCUUCCUGAGACAGGAGUCCUCAAAGGGGUCUCUCUUUCCUCCUCACUCAGGGUUGCUAAAGCUGGACCAGUUCCCUCCAAAUAAGGAACCUACACACUCCAACACCUAUUCUCAAUCCCUUGUCCAUUUACAUUAACACCAGAGGCAUCUUCUUCCUCUGAGAUCUACAACCUAUUUGUCUCCCUACCAACUAGACAGGUACUUGCACCCUAACCUACCUCCAUUAAAUUAACCUUGUCCUCCAAACUAAAAAACUCCCUGUCCCUACUAUACUGCACGCCCACCCCCACUAAAAAAAUACAUCGUUCAUUCCCUUAUUAGUAGCCCUUGAAGUCACAACUAGUGUCGGGUUAGGAGCAGGAAGUCUAAAAACCUUGUUAUAUUUCUAGUAGCUCUCCCAAAAUUUCCAAUCGUCAGUAAAAAAAAAAAGAAACCAUAGCAAAGUCUAUCACUAACCUUCAAAACCAACUAGACUCUUUAAAAGCAAUCACUUGGCUGGGCGCAGUGGCUCAAGCCUGUAAUCCCAGCACUUUGGGAG